rnacentral:rRNA from 1 species
GAUGAACGCUGGCGGCGUGCCUAAUACAUGCCAGUCGAGCGAACAGACGAGGAGCUUGCUCCUCUGACGUUAGCGGCGGACGGGUGAGUAACACGUGGAUAACCUACCUAUAAGACUGGGAUAACUUCGGGAAACCGGAGCUAAUACCGGAUAAUAUAUUGAACCGCAUGGUUCAAUAGUGAAAGACGGUUUUGCUGUCACUUAUAGAUGGAUCCGCGCCGCAUUAGCUAGUUGGUAAGGUAACGGCUUACCAAGGCAACGAUGCGUAGCCGACCUGAGAGGGUGAUCGGCCACACUGGAACUGAGACACGGUCCAGACUCCUACGGGAGGCAGCAGUAGGGAAUCUUCCGCAAUGGGCGAAAGCCUGACGGAGCAACGCCGCGUGAGUGAUGAAGGUCUUCGGAUCGUAAAACUCUUUUAUUAGGGAAGAACAAAUGUGUAAGUAACUAUGCACGUCUUGACGGUACCUAAUCAGAAAGCCACGGCUAACUACGUG